rnacentral:rRNA from 1 species
GACGUAGGGGGCGAGCGUUGUCCGGAUUUAUUGGGCGUAAAGAGCUCGUAGGCGGUCUGUCGCGUCUGCUGUGAAAACUCGGGCUUAACCCCGGGCCUGCAGUGGGUACGGGCAGACUAGAGUGCGGUAGGGGAGACUGGAAUUCCUGGUGUAGCGGUGAAAUGCGCAGAUAUCAGGAGGAACACCGGUGGCGAAGGCGGGUCUCUGGGCCGAUACUGACGCUGAUGCGCGAAAGCCAGGGAGCGAAGCGGG